rnacentral:lncRNA from 1 species
UUUUUUUUUUUUUUUUUGAGGCGGCCAGACUUGGAACACUCAGGAAUACAGACAGACGUAGGAAUUGCUUAAAAACAAGAAGUUCUCCCACCCUUGUUGGAGCGAAUGCGCGAGUCUGACAGUGAACCUUUUGGGAAAGAGCCAGCAUUGUAACCGUGCUCGGUGACUUCUCUGGCUUUAUAGGGAACAGAUGUGAGGAUAGCAAGGGGCGCACACGUGAAAUGCCUGGCAGGUACCCCUUUGUGGCUCUACUUACUUCUUGCCAUUCCUCUGCCCUCCAAGUGUAGAGGGGACACCGUGGGCCUUGGCAGUCGCGUUCCGACUCCGGUCUGGUGUAUGGGUUGCACUCGGUCUCUCUGGCUAUUUUGUGUGUUCCGAUCUGACAGCCCACAUGCCUCUGCUGUACGCCUCGGCCACAGGACACAGAGCACUAAGAAGACAGAGAACAUUCACAGUCUGGUGAGACAAGUUUGAGAUCUCAUAUUUUCAGCUCAUCCUUGAAAACCUUUCUUCGAUUUGACUGACCUUGAUGGCUCCCUGGAAUCUCACCUACAUUUUAUGGGAAAUUCAACUCUCCAGAGAGAAGAGCUUUCAGAUAGCUGCGGGACUUGCAACUGUGACUUUCAGCUUUCGCUUUUGAAUGAGGCUCCAAAUGUCUCAAUGGUGGCACUAUUUCCAGAUUUGGGAGCCCUGCAAAGCUAAUCUGCUCAACCUUCACCUACUGGGUUCAAUGAAUAUGAAAAGCUGCCUUCCUGAAACUUUUCCUUCAAAGAGGGAAUGAUCUCCUGGAAUUCAAGCUUCUACAAGGUGGCUACCUGGUGUUUUCCACUUUUGCCGUCUCCUAAAAAGCAUCAUUCAAGCCUUGCCCUUUCAACCCACUGAACACAUAAACAUGCUUUCUCCUUAACUGAACUUAUGGCCACGAUGAACUUGAACUCUGAGAUUCACAGAGGAGAGUUUGUUUUAACAGCUGCUUUUACAAUGAAGCCCUGGAGUUACUACUCUCAAGACCCCUGGUUCUGAUAGGCCAUCUUUUCACUGUCCUCUGCAUUUUCUAAUGCCCAGCUGUCAAGGAACACCCACUGAAGUUUUCCAAAACAAAGGCACGAAACACAAGAAAGGCAAGAGAAUGCUAAUCACCAGAUGCAUGGGCAUCCUAUGGGGGAACCCCUUACAUGUGGAAUACGGUUUUUCUCCCCAAUUUAUUUUUAUAAAUUUAUUGAUUUCUUUGCUAGUUUGUUAUUAAUUGUUAGAGAUGUCCUGUUGCCUGAGGUUGCCCUGUCCGAUAUGGUAGCCACCAGCGACAGGUAGCUAUUUAGAGUAAUUUAAAAAUUACAUUAAAAAUGCAGUUUCCUUGUCACUUAACCAUGUUUCAAGUGCUCAGUAUUAACCACAUGUGACUAGUGGCUUCCAUAAAGGAAGGCAAAAAUAGAGAACAUUUACAUCGCUGCAGAAAGCUACUAGAUUUUUUUGGCCAAGGCAUAAGCUCUUUCUCAUAAGAGAAAGGGGAUGCAGAUCUUGCUAAGAGUGAUGGAUUUCUGGGUUCAGCCUACAUGAGUCAUCUUCCAUACUACCCCUGGACAUGCUUUCCUUGGCUGCCAAUUUUCUAUUUUAUAAAUUUCAGGAAAGAGAGAUUAUGGUUGUUAAAACCAUUCAUGACAAUGAUCCCACUUUAGAGAAAACAACAGCAACAAGCAAAGAAGAUGGUGUGGAGAUCCGCACAUUCCACAUCUUUUAAUUGGUACCCAUUAAAUAACAAAGGGAAAAAGUACCCUCAGACCACAACUCUCCACCUUGUGUGGAGGCCAAGGACCCAGCAGGGAGAAGGCAGAAGAUUAGGUUCUCCACUCAUCCUGGCUCUCAGACCACUGAACUCACAUUUGGGUUCUAAUGGAAUGGUGAUUGGAAGCAUAUUCUCCAAUAGGAGGUUUUUAAAAGUUCUGUGCCAUCAGCCAGGCAGCAUCUGUCAUUUAAAAUGACUGGCCAGUUGCACGUUUAAAAGCAAAGAUAAAAUUGCUAAUUUAUACUUACUGAAUAAACAUCAGCAGUAUCCAUGAAGGUACCUACCCUAAUAGCAAGUUGUAUUUUUAUUUUUAUGGUGGUGGCGAAGCUGCCAGGAAAACCAAAGCAUCAGUUCUUUAAUUACAUUUGUUUAGUAUUGAUUUAAUACUAAAAUUUCUCUUGCUCCCUUAGAACAAAGAGCUCUAACUUGUACACUGCUGUAUCCUUAGCACCUGGAACAGUCCCUGGCCUACAAUAGGCACUUAGAAAGUAUUUGUUAAAAAUUGAUUUUUUUUUUUUAAAGAAACAACCCAGAGUUUUUUUAUUCUGCCCCAACCCCCAACCCCUGGCAUUAAAAUAAAUCUUCCUCAACUGCCAUCACUAAUCGCCAGGAUUCCCUCCUAGCCAAUUAUGCUUGGACUCAACCUCUACCUCCCACUCCACAUUCCAAAGUUUCUAUUUCUUUCCAUUCCAGAAGGGCAACUCCACAACAGGAGUGAGGGAGAGGACCUGGACUCCUCCUCAGAGUCCAAUAACACUCCUAACCCUGCUCCCCCAACCUGUGGACUUUUUAAAUCCAUGAAAAUAGAACCUGUCAAGCUACCACAAAAUAGCAUCAGAAGGCAGGAUCAGUCUUUCAUAGGCAUACAAUCUCUGUAAAUACUGAAAAAAGAUUAUUAAAAGCCUGCUAAGUUUUGUCUCCAGUGAAAUAGAUGCAGGCAAGUAUUUUGAUUGUUCUGAACACAUUAGAGAUGAGUGCUACACAGAACUAAGGUAAACUUUGUAAAUUCGUAUGUCAUAACACUUUGUUCCACAAAAAACUAUCUUAUUUUUUAUACUCCAUACUGAUACAGCCAAAUAAUGUGGCUCUUAUUUUCUAAAGAUGCCAGCAAUAUGUUUAAACAUGUCUUCAUUGUAGUAAAAGUAUCAUAUUUAUAAAAAAUACAUAUGCAUUUAAUGUGAUAUUCCUUAUAGUCAAAAUCUUGAUAUCAUCCUGUUAAUCUGGCUAAAAAUGUAUCUGUAAAAUGAAAGAGAGGAAUAUUUUGCCAUUCCCUAAACAACAGUUGUUUGAAGCUUUUGUAAUUGCUGGUUAUGGGAAUUUACCAAUAACAGGAAUGAAUUUGGAUUUUCUUUUGCUGGAAUCAAAUGGACAAUGUCAUAAUUAGCUAAAUAAUGUUGAGGCUAAAUGAAGUUUGAGUUUUAGGCACAUCCUUUAUGGAAUAUAAACAGGAACCUAAAAGUUCAUUCUGAACAUAGGUUGUUUCUUUCUGCCAAAACAAGAUUAAUAGUCAGUACCCUAACGACAAGGUCCUAUCACUGAAGUAGAUUAUCGGCUAGUCAAAUGGGUUCCUAACAGCACCUCCCUCAUGGGUUAAAACAAGAGGGUUAAUGUGAUGUGUAUUUGCUUAAUUUGGCUUGUUAUACAGUAAACACACAGCAAACGUUAGCUAUUGUUAUCUUCAUUUCCUUUGGAGAAGUUAUCUUAUUUCUCACCUUAUUAAAAAUAAACCCUAACUCAUACAGGGACCCUCCUUACCUUGGUCCUUUCACCCAUGAAUACCAUAAUAACCUAUACUGCAAAAAGGAGGCUCAGGAGGAGGAUGAGGUAUCAAUAGGCCUCCGGGUCAUUUUUAUGAUUUAGGUAUUUUUUGAAAAGGGUAGGCUCUCUUGAAACUUCCAAGGUAGUUGUUGUAGUAUUUUAUUUUCCUUUCAUAAGAAAUGCUUUCUGAAAUGUAUUGCAGUGAACAAAUAACAAAAUUGACAAAUGCUGUAAGCCUUUUACAGUUAUCUGAACACACAGAAUAAAGUGUAAUCAAAUUUGUGCACAUUAGGUUUGCUUUUUCCUGUACCUAGCUGUCUCUUAUGUGUUCAGAACCAUUUCUUCCAAUCACCUUUUUUUGUCUUCUGGCUAUAAUUUAUCAUUAUCUACAAAUUCAAUAAAUGGAGCAUGCAUAUUUCAUAGUUGAGAUUCAAUAAUUCAGGACAACAGUACUAGAAAAGAAAAAA